rnacentral:rRNA from 1 species
UACAGGAGACUGCAAGCGUAUUCGGAGUUCACUGGGCGUAAAGGGUGCGCAGGCGGCCAAGUGUGUCAGAUGUGAAAUCCCGAGGCUUAACCUCGGAACUGCGUUCUGAAACUACUUGGCUAGAGUACUGGAGAGGGUAACGGAAUUCACGGUGUAGCAGUGAAAUGCGUAGAUAUCGUGGAGGAACACCAGGUGGCGAAGGCGCUUCCUGGCCUGUUCUUGACGU